ACGUGCCUGUAAUCCCAGCUACUUGAGAGGCUGACACAGGAGAAUCACUUGAACCAGGGAGUUGGAGGUUGCAGUGAGCUGAGAUCAUGCCACUGCGCUCCAGGCUGGAGACAGAGCAAGACUCUGUCUCAGAAAAAAAAAAAAAGAGAGGUCAUGUCUUUUCCCUUCCCUCUUCCUGCUAGCUGGGAAGUAGACAUGAUGAAGAAUCAUUUGCUGAGAAUUGCAGUGCAACAAAAUAGAGCCUGAGUUCCUGACAUUAAAGUUCGGCAUUCCAUCCCUGGACAACCUACAUCCCUAGACUUUUUUCAGGUAACAAAAAAACCUGUUUAUUUUUACUGAUUGCUGGGUUCAAUCCUGAAUGGUCAUUUAGAAAUAUGGAGGAAAAUAGCAAAACAAACAGUCAAAAUAGACUUAAGAAGGAGAAAACCUGAAUACAUCAUCAUAGAGGGAAUAAAAGCAAGUAUUAUUAAGCCAUCGAUUAUUAAGCUAUUAUCUCUCAGCUUCAAACACACCAUUUUGUCUUCUGCGAUGCUGGGGCUGGAACUCUGCAGACUGGAUUUCUUAUGCCAUCUGGUUCCCAAUUAGACUUCCUACAGGUGAUUCUAGAGGAAGACUAGAAUGAUGAAAGAGGAAGAAGGGCUUGCUCCUUUUUGCUUCUUUUUCCUGUCAGUGUCACUACAGCAAUGGUUCUUCACCCUGGCAGUGGCACUUGGUUCCAGUUUGCAGUUUGUCCACACUACCACAGUCAAUCUCAUUGUCACUCAAAUACCAGCACCAGCCAGCCAGAAUUUCCCUCUGAAAAAUCUAUUCCUGGCCGGGCACGGUGGCUCACGCCUGUAAUCCCAGCACUUUGGGAGACCAAGGCAGGCGAAUCAUGAGGUCAAGAGAUCGAGACCAGCCUGGCCAACAUGGCGAAACCCCGUC
rnacentral:lncRNA from 1 species